GACGAACGCUGGCGGCGUGCUUAACACAUGCAAGUCGAACGGAAAGGCCUGCUUUCCCUUGUGGAUUGCGGGUACUCGAGUGGCGAACGGGUGAGUAACACGUGAGUGAUCUGCCCCCAACUUGGGUAUAAGCCUGGGAAACUGGGUCUAAUUCCCGAUAGGACUGCAGGGUGGUGCCUGUGGUGGAAAACGAUUUUCUAGUGGUUGGGGAUGAGCUCGCGGCCUAUCAGCUUGUUGGUGGGGUAAUGGCCUACCAAGGCGGCGACGGGUAGCCGGCCUGAGAGGGUGGACGGCCACAUUUGGACUGAGAUACGGCCCAGACUCCUACGGGAGGCAGCAGUGGGGAAUAGUGCACGAUGGGCGGAAGCCUGAUGCAGCGACGCCGGGUGGGGGAUGACGGCCUUCGGGUUGUAAACUCCUUUCGACCGCGAGGAAGCCACCUGGUUGGAAGGGUGGUGACGGUAGUGGUAGAAGAAGCACCGGCUAACUACGUG
rnacentral:rRNA from 1 species